GGUUGUGGCUCAGUGGUACAGCACUUGCCUAGCAUGUGUGAGGCACUAGGUUCAAUCCCCAGCACCA
rnacentral:tRNA from 1 species